rnacentral:rRNA from 1 species
UACGGAAGGCAGCAGUGGGGAAUAUUGCACAAUGGGCGCAAGCCUGAUGCAGCCAUGCCGCGUGUAUGAAGAAGGCCUUCGGGUUGUAAAGUACUUUCAGUCGUGAGGAAGGUGUUAAGGUUAAUAACCUUAGCAAUUGACGUUAGCGACAGAAGAAGCACCGGCUAACUCCGUGCCAGCAGCCGCGGUAAUACGGAGGGUGCGAGCGUUAAUCGGAAUUACUGGGCGUAAAGGGCACGCAGGCGGUUAAUUAAGUUGGAUGUGAAAUCCCCGGGCUUAACCUGGGAAUGGCAUUCAAGACUGGUUAGCUAGAGUCUUGUAGAGGGGGUAGAAUUCCAUGUGUAGCGGUGAAAUGCGUAGAGAUGUGGAGGAAUACCGGUGGCGAAGGCGGCCCCUGGACAAAGACUGACUCUCAUGUGCGAAAGCGUGGGGAGCAAACAGGGAUUAGAUACC